rnacentral:rRNA from 1 species
UACGUAGGGGGCAAGCGUUGUCCGGAUUUAUUGGGCGUAAAGAGCGUGUAGGCGGCCAGGGAGGUCCGUUGUGAAAACUCGAGGCUCAACCUCGAGACGCCGAUGGAAACCCCCUGGCUAGAGUCCGGAAGAGGAGAAUGGAAUUCCUGGUGUAGCGGUGAAAUGCGCAGAUAUCAGGAAGAACACCCGUGGCGAAGGCGGUUCUCUGGGACGGUACUGACGCUGAGACGCGAAAGCGUGGGGAGCGAACAGG